rnacentral:miRNA from 1 species
UGAUGAUGAUGAUGAUGAUGAUGAUGAUGAUACCGGGAAGAGAGAGAGGGGGGGAGAGGGAGAGAGAGAAAUUUCUUCACAACCACCACAUCAUACAUCAUCGUCAUCAUCAUGA